rnacentral:rRNA from 1 species
GGCCUUUUGUAUUUAAUUUAAGGUCUGAUCUGCCCACUGAGAAUUUUAAAGGGCCGCGGUAUUUUGACCGUGCUAAGGUAGCAUAAUCAUUAGUUUUUUAAUUGAAAGCUGGAAUGAAUGGUUGGAUAAGAAAAUAACUGUCUAAAAUUUUAUAAUUAUAAAUUUUAUUUUUAAGUUAAAAAGCUUAAAUUUUUAUAAAAGACGAGAAGACCCUAUAGAAUUUUAUAUUAUAUUAAAGUUUUACUUUUAGUAAUAAGAUUUUUAAGUUUAAUAUAAUAGUUAAUUGGGGUGAUUAGAAAAUUUAAGAAACUUUUCAAUAAUAUAUACAUUGAUUUAUGAUUAAUUGAUCCAUUUUUAUGAUUAUAAGAAGUAAUUACCUUAGGGAUAACAGCGUAAUAUUUUUUUAAAGUUCAUAUUAAGAAAAUUGUUUGCGACCUCGAUGUUGGAUUAAAAUUUAAUUUUGGUGUAAGGGCUAAAAAUAUUAGGUCUGUUCGACCUUUAAAAUUU